rnacentral:rRNA from 1 species
GACGAACGCUGGCGGCGUGCCUAAUACAUGCAAGUCGUGCGGACCUUGUUGAAAGCUUGCUUUUAAAAGGUUAGCGGCGGACGGGUGAGUAACACGUGGGCAACCUGCCUGUAAGACUGGGAUAACGCCGGGAAACCGGGGCUAAUACCAGAUCGUUUUUUCCUCCGCAUGGAGGAAAAAGGAAAGGCGGCUUCGGCUGCCACUUACAGAUGGGCCCGCGGCGCAUUAGCUAGUUGGCGGGGUAAUGGCCCACCAAGGCAAAGAUGCGUAGCCGACCUGAGAGGGGGAUCGGCCACAUUGGGACUGAGACACGGCCCAAACUCCUACGGGAGGCAGCAGUAGGGAAUCUUCCGCAAUGGACGAAAGGCUGACGGAGCAACGCCGCGGGAGGGAAGAAGGCCUUCGGGUCGUAAAACUCUGUUGCCGGGGAAGAACAAGUGCCGUUCGAACAGGGCGGCGCCUUGACGGUACCCGGCCAGAAAGCCACGGCUAACUACGUG